AUGUAUGAACUCAUUUCGAUAAAACACUUCUGGUCUACUCUAGAGUUUUUACUCUGCAGAAAACUGACGAGCAACCCAACCCACCAACAGACGAGGAAGAUGAGGAUGAUAAUCAUAGUAGUCCAGCAUAUACAAAGAGAAAGGUCUGUUUGUAUUUUUAGCUUCCACAUUCUUAUUUUUGUAAAUGCAGUUGCAAUAAGAAAACGUAAUUUUUUCCCCAUAUUUCUUAAAGUAUGUAAGACUGAAGAUUUGUUUAAGUGGGCCAUUGUUUUCAAAUAACCUCAACUUAAUGCAUUAGCUAGUUUCAGCUAUUUUUAUGAUGAGAAUGUACUGUUACGUUAGUCAUAUAUGCAUCAGUUUGUCUGAGAUCAUCUGCAAUAUCUCUGGCCUGCUUUUACAGAUGCUAAAUAUAAGCAGACUAUACAGAUGCUCAUCUCUGCCAAAACACAUGUGACUACAACACAAACACAGCAUCACAGUUCAUCACUUUACUUAGUACUUCACUCAGGAUGUAGAGACACUCUAGACCCACACAACAAUUCGAUUAAAAAUGUAAAAUAUAUCGUUUAUUUAAUUUAAUUUUUUUUACUUAGGUUUCGCACAAAGCCGCAUUUGCUGCAGUCUCACACGUGAGGUGAAGGUUUGCGAGUUCAUUUAUGAGCUUAUAAGCACCUGAGCUAGUAAAAUACUCAAAAAAGAAUGGUCUACGAUGCUUACCAGAAGUGUUUUAUCUACAUGAGUUCAUACAUCCAUAUCUCUUGGUAAAUAAUCCAUUGUUUUGUUUGCAUCCAAACUGCCCAAACAUGGUGGACAGUAGGCUACUCGCGAGCACAGGUACGAGACCCCACCCACGCUGCGCGAGUGAAGGUGAUACAGAGCGGCAACCUCCCGCUCUCUCUCGUGAAGCCAACAAGGAAGUGACUAAAACUGCAAUUCAUCGACUGGCUGCUUGAGGCUGGCUGCAAAAGGGAGUCAGUCCAAAUGCCCAACUUUACAGCAGAAAAAAAAAACAUGUUUACAGCCUGGUUCAAAAAAUGAUUUUGGUCUAUAUAGCUAAUUUUGCCCUUCAUGACAACUGUGACGGGGGUGAAUUUUUUUAUAACUCAUCCAUUUAAAUUAUAUUAAGCCUUAAAGUUCUGCAUAAUUAAGGGAGUGGCCACUUGAGUGACAGGUGGAUUGCCGCUGCUGACACUGAUGUCACACUAGGUGGGCGUGGCUUCAGCAACCAGCUCCCACCUUUUUGCCCAUUUUCGAUUAUCCAG
ensembl:lncRNA